rnacentral:rRNA from 1 species
GAUGAACGCUGGCGGCGUGCCUAAUACAUGCAAGUCGAGCGAAUGGAUUAAGAGCUUGCUCUUAUGAAGUUAGCGGCGGACGGGUGAGUAACACGUGGGUAACCUGCCCAUAAGACUGGGAUAACUCCGGGAAACCGGGGCUAAUACCGGAUAACAUUUUGAACCGCAUGGUUCGAAAUUGAAAGGCGGCUUCGGCUGUCACUUAUGGAUGGACCCGCGUCGCAUUAGCUAGUUGGUGAGGUAACGGCUCACCAAGGCAACGAUGCGUAGCCGACCUGAGAGGGUGAUCGGCCAAACUGGGACUGAGACACGGCCCAGACUCCUGCGGGAGGCAGCAGGAGGGAAUCUUCCGCAAUGGACGAAAGUCUGACGGAGCAACGCCGCGUGAGUGAUGAAGGCUUUCGGGUCGUAAAACUCUGUUGUUAGGAAGAACAAGUGCUAGUUGAAUAAGCUGGCACCUUGACGGUACCUAACCAGAAAGCCACGGCUAACUACGUGCCAGCCGCCGCCGUAA